GAUGAACGCUGGCGGCGUGCCUAAUACAUGCAAGUCGAGCGAACGGACGAGAAGCUUGCUUCUCUGAUGUUAGCGGCGGACGGGUGAGUAACACGUGGAUAACCUACCUAUAAGACUGGGAUAACUUCGGGAAACCGGAGCUAAUACCGGAUAAUAUUUUGAACCGCAUGGUUCAAAAGUGAAAGACGGUCUUGCUGUCACUUAUAGAUGGAUCCGCGCUGCAUUAGCUAGUUGGUAAGGUAACGGCUUACCAAGGCAACGAUGCAUAGCCGACCUGAGAGGGUGAUCGGCCACACUGGAACUGAGACACAGUCCAGACUCCUACGGGAGGCAGCAGUAGGGAAUCUUCCGCAAUGGGCGAAAGCCUGACGGAGCAACGCCGCGUGAGUGAUGAAGGUCUUCGGAUCGUAAAACUCUGUUAUUAGGGAAGAACAUAUGUGUAAGUAACUGUGCACAUCUUGACGGUACCUAAUCAGAAAGCCACGGCUAACUACGUGCCAGCAGCCGCGGUAAUACGUAGGUGGCAAGCGUUAUCCGGAAUUAUUGGGCGUAAAGCGCGCGUAGGCGGUUUUUUAGUCUGAUGUGAAAGCCCACGGCUCAACCGUGGAGGGUCAUUGGAAACUGGAAAACUUGAGUGCAGAAGAGGAAAGUGGAAUUCCAUGUGUAGCGGUGAAAUGCGCAGAGAUAUGGAGGAACACCAGUGGCGAAGGCGACUUUCUGGUCUGUAACUGACGCUGAUGUGCGAAAGCGUGGGGAUCAAACAGGAUUAGAUACCCUGGUAGUCCACGCCGUAAACGAUGAGUGCUAAGUGUUAGGGGGUUUCCGCCCCUUAGUGCUGCAGCUAACGCAUUAAGCACUCCGCCUGGGGAGUACGACCGCAAGGUUGAAACUCAAAGGAAUUGACGGGGACCCGCACAAGCGGUGGAGCAUGUGGUUUAAUUCGAAGCAACGCGAAGAACCUUACCAAAUCUUGACAUCCUUUGACAACUCUAGAGAUAGAGCCUUCCCCUUCGGGGGACAAAGUGACAGGUGGUGCAUGGUCGUCGUCAGCUCGUGUCGCGAGAUGUUGGGUUAAGUCCCGCAACGAGCGCAACCCUUAAGCUUAGUUGCCAUCAUUAAGUUGGGCACUCUAAGUUGACUGCCGGUGACAAACCGGAGGAAGGUGGGGAUGACGUCAAAUCAUCAUGCCCCUUAUGAUUUGGGCUACACACGUGCUACAAUGGACAAUACAAAGGGCAGCGAAACCGCGAGGUCAAGCAAAUCCCAUAAAGUUGUUCUCAGUUCGGAUUGUAGUCUGCAACUCGACUACAUGAAGCUGGAAUCGCUAGUAAUCGUAGAUCAGCAUGCUACGGUGAAUACGUUCCCGGGUCU
rnacentral:rRNA from 1 species